GUAUUUUCUUCUUGAAGCUCUCGUUGAAUACUCUCACUAUAUGCUUCUGUGCUGGUGUGCAUUUGGCACAAGCUUCCAAUACUGCUUCAGGAAUUACACCUAAAGAAAUAAACUGAUGUUAAAAUCGCAAAGCUAUAAAAAGCAACGUCGUCACAAGGAGUCUCGUCUAUAAAGCAGUCCACGAAGCUAUUGAACUGGUCCUCAUCUUCCACUAAGGAUACUAUGUCUAAAUCGUCGUGAUCGGUUCCAUAUGUGUCUUCUUCAUACUGAGCUAUCACCACUGCUGCCAGGAGUAGCACUAGGAUCUUCAUUUUCAACUGAAAUUAUAUUGAAAAUCUUUAAAUACUAGUUGGUGGAUAUACGAGAGAUAUCCGGUAUAACGAGGAAGGCUAUACCUACGUGCGAAAAGUACUUAGAACCCAUGGGAUGCGGGUGACACCACUGGUGGAAGCUAGUCCUACUACCAUAUACAAGAGUUAAUCACCCAGUUUUACAUGAAAUUGAUUAACAUGAUGAUGAUUGCAUUAUAGAAAAAUCUCGACUCUUAGAUCAUA